AACUUUUGGCAACGGAUCUCUUGGUUCUCGCAUCGAUGAAGAACGCAGCGAAAUGCGAUAAGUAAUGUGAAUUGCAGAGUCCAGUGAAUCAUCGAAUCUUUGAACGCACAUUGCGCCCCCUGGUACUCCGGAGGGCAUGCCUGUCUGAGCGUCAUCGCACACACCCUCGGGACGCGUUGCCCGGACCUGGGGACGGUCGGCCGACAGUCACCGGCCGCCCCGAAAAGCAGCAGACAGCCGUAGGGAUGGCGGGAGAUCGCCCUUUGGAAUCGCCCCUAGUGGCAUACCCAGCGGGGAGGCCGCGUACCCGGUAGAGUACCGACCUACGACACCACGGAGGCCGGUGGAACACACAAUGACUCUUGACCUCAAAUCAAAGAGGGAUACCCGCGGACCUUAAGCAUAUCUAAGAGUGGAGGCU
rnacentral:misc_RNA from 1 species